CAACAUGAUAGGGACAUUUUCUGAUGAGGUCCUUCAAUCUUUUCCAUGCCUCAUGGAACUUCUCGCUAUCAUGCUGUGAAAAACUAGUGAGAGCUCGCCUUAUUUG
rnacentral:snoRNA from 1 species